AUGACUCAACAUUUUGUGCACACGCGUAUGUGUGUGUGUGUGUGUGUGUGUGUGUGCGUGUGUGUGUGCAUCUGUGUUGUGUGUGGGUGUGUGUGUUGACUCAUGAGGUCAAGGUCCACAUUUCAAGCCUGAUGUCACUUAUCACUGACUAAUCCUCUGAAACAUUCAGAGGGCGGGAAGCAGUCGGGAACUGGAGGGAAACUUUGUGAGACACCUUGCUCAGUGUGUGUGCGUGUGUGUGUGUGUCUCUGGUACGCAAUCCUGUAGUAAAUGACAUUUGUGGUUUGUGCUAAAAAUAGGGUUGGGUAUCGAGUAUCGAGUAUGGAUUGGAACCGGGACUAACUUUAAGAUUCUCCCAGAAUCGUUCAAAAGUUGAAAUUUCGAUUCCUAGUUUCGAUACCCAGUCCACCGACCGGAAGAUUAAAAAAAGUCCGCCGACCGGAAGAAGAAGCCGCCCAACACCAACGAAGAAGCGCCCACCGCUGGAAGUGUUAGCAUAGCCGAGCCUAUGUAGCCGAGCGAGUCAGUCAAGCAUGGAUAGCGGGCGUCGGCGGUCGAAAGUAUGGCUUUAUUUUACUAAAAAAACAUGAAAUAUCGGUGAAAUAUAACACGUGCAACAGGACUGUUUCGUGCUUUGGAGGGUGCACGUCGAACAUGAUGAAGCACCUCCGAGACCAUUGAGUACAAAUAAAUGCGUGUCCCGUCUUCGUCCUCCUCUGCCUGGCACCUCGGUGACUGCACAGCAGUCCGAAUCCGGCAAUUUACAACCUGCUAGCCAGGCUCCGCCAUGUGCUCAGCGUACUCCGUUCACCGUAGCGGCAAUGGGGAAGACGUCGGUGCCACAGACGGAAGAGUGCCACAGAAAGGUCACUGCACACAUAGUCAAAAGACUCCAACAUUUAGGGAUAUGGUGAAAACUCUCAACCCAAAAUACGUACCACUUUCCAGGGACUACCUGGCAAACACAUUGAUCCCGGCACGGUACAAGAAGAAUCGGAAUCGAGAAUCGUCAGGAAUCGGAAUCGAAACAAAGAAUCGGAAUCGGAAUCGUUCGAAUUCAAACGAUACCCCACCCUAGUUAAAAAUGCUCGGGACGACAUGAUAGCAUUAGCGAUACCAAUAUUUUGGUGCCGCUCCGGGUAUUUCAAUACUUUUCGAUACUUUUCAAAAUAAAGGGCGCCAGAAAAUCUUAUGAUACAUUACAAUUGCGUUUUUUAGUAGUCAAAGAACAAUUUGGGCAUUAAAUAAGAUAGUGAACAUACAAGACAACAUCUAUUUUAGUAGUAAGUAAGCAAACAAAGGCUCCUGAUUAACCUGCUGACAUAUGCCGUGACAUAUUGUGUAAUUUAUCAUUCCAUUUUUUUGUCAAAAUAAUGAGGGACAAACGGUAGAAAAUUUCUUAUUUAUCUACUUCUUCAUUUACUUUUAUCCAUCCAUCCAUCUAUUUCCUACUGCUUAUUCCCUUUGGGGUCGCGGGGGACGCUGGUGCCUAUCUCAGCUACAAUCGGGCGGAAGGCGGCGUACACCCUGGACAAGUCGCCACCACAUCGCAGGGCCCAUUUACUGUUAAUAUCUGCUUAUUUUUUGUUUUAACAUUUUUUUUAUAUGAUUAUGUUAAAAUGUAAUAAUCACUUAUUUGUUGUGUUUUGUCAUUUCCCUGCCUUCUCUUUUUUAUGGUGUCUGUUUUCUUCUGUUAAUUAGUCUCCAGCGAGACACACCUGCAACAAAUCCCUACCUAGGUGUAGUUAAGCUCGUCACAGACAGCUGGGUCCUGUCAGUUAUUUUCUCCUGCACCUCCCACGUGCAUGCGCCUGCUUCACUUCGUCAAUCCUGGUAUGUUGUCUCUCCUUAUUCCUGAAAUUCCUCACUUCUUUGUGCUUGCUUCCUAGCCUCCCUGAGGUAAAGAGGAUUUUGUGUUGGAACUUUUGUUGUGCUCAGUGCGCCCUGGGCUCUUCCCCUGCUGACCACUGAGGGACCUGUUUUUGUUUGUUUAUUCAUGGUGUGCACUUCUGCCCCAUCGCCUUUUGCACCUCCUUGACCAAUUCCUAAGAUAAUUUUUCUGUUGUUUGAGACUUUACAUUAGUUUUGGGUGAUACUACAAAUAUUUCUAAGGACCCGAUACCAGGUAGCUACGGGAUCAUGCAUUGGUCAUAAUUAAAAUUCUCUUGUGUCCAGGGACAUAUUUACUUAAUAAACAAUACAAAAAAUGGCAAAAGGUUCUGCGAUAAUAGAAAAUGUUGUAAUUAUUGUCCAUACAGCUUUUUUACUUGGUAUCUUUAUAGUUGAUAUUUGUAUAGAUCCACACAUGGCAUUUGUUUACAUUCAGGAGUGCUAGAUUACCAUGAAUUGAUUUACCUGCACCCCGACUUAAACAAGUUGAAAAACGUAUUUGGGUGUUACCAUUUAGUGGUCAAUUGUACGGAAUAUGUACUGUACUGUGCAAUCUACUAAUAAAAGUUUCAAUCAAUCAAUCAAUCAAUCAAUCAAUCAAUCAAUCAA